CACACACUAUGCCAUAAAUAAGGAUGAGAGGAUCAGCCCUGAAGCUACCCUUCAGGCUAAAAUGUCCAUGCAGUUACAGAGAUGUGUACAAGGCAUGAAAAUUAAAAGUAGACUCCAACUUAUGUGCUUCUGCAAAGUCUGAUAAACAAGUUGUCAGCCAGUCACAGAGAUACAUGCAAUAUUCAUCCUUCUGAACUACAUUUCAAAGAGGCUCCUACAUCAGAUUAUAGAUGGCACUCUGAGCUGCUUGCUGUGAAUUACACACCUGGAGUACUGUUCCACUCUGAUAAGCUUCACCCUCUCCCCUUCUUUUCAGCUUUGUGGAAGAGGUACAGUUAAUCUAACUGAAUGAUUACAAGCGAUGCUUAUUAUUAGGCAGAUCUUGAUUUGCAAUGCACUGAGCCAUCUAUCUUUUGCUGCGGUUACAAGAACAACCUGCUAUGGAAUCUAUCACAGCCCAACAAUUCCACAACUGAUUUGCUGGCAGCUGAGCCCUGGGGCUUGGAAUGUAAAUAAGACUCAGAAUAAAAGUGAUGUGCACUGCAGCAGUCGACAGUGAGUGCAGGGAGAAGCUUUUCUAUGCCACUUUAAGAUGCGGGGAAAAAAUGAAGGAGGGAAAGAAAGAAGGAACUACUUCACUAUUUCUUUUUAGAUGUCUUAUUACUCACCACCACCUUGUGCAAGAAAUGAAAGCAAAAUGUUAUUUACAAAUUGCAGCUGGAAAUUGUCUAAAAGUAGCCAGUGUAGCUACACUGCACAAUAACUCACACAUCUCAAAUUUCUCAGUGCUUUCCUGGGUGCACACUAAAACUUAGAUACCAGUGUCUGAUCUCAUGCUUACAGACAUACCUGUCUGUGAAACAAAAUGACUUUAGCUAAGACUACCAGUUUCAUUUCACGAAUAGAAGAAACAAGUAAAGUUUAAAAUUGUUUCUGCAUUUGAUGGUGUUGUUGCUGCCUGAUAACUCAGUCUAUAGUCUGAUCUUGACUAAUAUCUACUGGUUAGAUGAUGAUGCUCAACAUUUCUGCCUGAAACACCACUGCAGUUGUAAGGUCUUUUAAUUGAUUUAUGAAUUAUGAACAGGAUUCAUCUCUUUUCACUUCUCUCUGUUCUUCAUUAUGUUACAUGGUGAUUCACUGCAUAUAUUUCCCAAGAGGUCUCUCAUCAUUUUUAGGGCUAGCUUUAAAGAUCAUUUUUUACACCUACAUUUUAUAUAUAGGUCCUGGUCACGGUGUUCUUUACAUGUGGUUGAACUCUCCAGAUUUCAUGGAACCCAUUGUUAGAUAAGUAGGUCUGUGAAAAGGAAUAAAAGACAAGGCUGGACCCGUAGCUGAAAUGCUAAAUAUAGUUGGAAAGGGAACCUUUACGCUGAAAAAGGUACAGACCCCAACUCAUUGUUUCAUUGUACCUCAUAUUAUCAUUUUGUAUCACUCGGUACAUAAUAUCAUCUUCUGACUUACUUACCAUAUUCAGAUCUCAUAUUUCACUUAGGCAAAUGGCUAUGACUUCGUGAGUGCAGAAAUAAGAUCCAGUUUGUUAAUAUUAUGUGAUAAAUCGAAAGGCAAAUAAAUGUCUUGGUUCUCUGA